AUAGCGUAUACUAAAAUUGUUGCGUCUAAAAAGCUCGUAGUUUGAAAACUUGCCUUGGCUUACAAUCGGCCCUUCAGGGGCCACCGUUUGUUGAGUGCAAAUAUAGAUGACUGUUUUUGCCGACUUCAUUGUUUGGCUUAUAAGAGUUAUCAAAUAUCACUUUGAUUAAAUUAGAGUGCUUAAAGCAAGUGUUUUACUUGGAUAUAAAUGCAUGGAAUGAUGGAAUAUGUUGUUGUUCUAUUUGUUGGUUUUUGAACGAUGAAAUGAUUGAAAGGAACUGUUGGGGGCAUUCGUAUUGUUGUGAGAGAGGUGAAAUUCUUAGACCACAGCAAGACGAACUACUG
rnacentral:rRNA from 1 species